AAUACAAUAAAAUCCCUUUGCCCCGCACCGUUUGGUGCGGGACUUCGCGGGGAAUUUGGUGUAAAUCCAAAACUGUGCCGCAACGGUGUCUCACAUCCGUUCGACAUAAAUUAUUACAAGCACCCGUUGUAAAAGUAUCUAUAGCAACAGAAUAAAGUAAUAGUUUACUACGAACAAAGUGAGGAGUCCGAAAACCGCAAUGAGGAAAACCCGGUA
rnacentral:ncRNA from 2 species